rnacentral:rRNA from 1 species
AUUGAACGCUGGCGGCAGGCCUAACACAUGCAAGUCGAGCGGAUGAAGGGUGCUUGCUCCUGGUUUCAGCGGCGGACGGGUGAGUAAUGCCUAGGAAUCUGCCUGGUAGUGGGGGAUAACGUCCUGAAACGGGCGCUAAUACCGCAUACGUCCUGCGGCUGAAACUGGGGGGUCUUCGGACCUUACGCUAUCAGAUGAGCCUAGGUCGGAGUAGCUAGUUGGUGGGGUAAAGGCCUACCAAGGCGACGAUCCGCAACUGGUCUGAGAGGAUGAUCAGUCACACUGGAACUGAGCCACGGUCCAGGGUCCUACGGGAGGCAGCAGUGGGGAAUGUUGGACAGUGGGCGAAAGCCUGGUCCAGCCAUGCCGCGUGUGUGGAGAAGGUCUUCGGAUUGUAAAGCACUUUAAGUUGGGGGGAAGGGCAGUAAGUUAAUACCUUGCUGUUUUGACGUUACCAACAGAAUAAGCACCGGCUAACUUCGUG